rnacentral:tRNA from 1 species
CCCUGUGUGGCACAGAUGGUUAAGCAUUUGACUGUUAGUCAAAAGAUUGGUGGUUCGAACUUACCCAGAGGUG